UUUAGGCAAACGCUGUAUUUUAAAUGUAAUAUAGAGGAAAGUCCAUGCUCACACCGUUCUGAGAUGACGGUAGUGUUUGUGUAUAGGGAAAAAAUAACCUAUAGUAGCUAUAUGCUAACGGCGAGUAAAUAUCCUAAAGAAAUCCAUGGAUAUUACUCUUAAAGUGCCACAGUGACGAUACUUUCUUGAAAAAGAAAGAGUGAAACGUUGGUAAACCCCACAAGUGAGAAACCCAAAAUAUGGUAGGGGAACUUUUACAAGGAAAAUGAACUAAGUAAAAGAUGAUUAAUCAUAGAUAAAUGUUUGCCACCAGUAAUGGUACAAAACAUGGCUUAUU
rnacentral:RNase_P_RNA from 1 species